CAGCAGCCGCGGGAAUACGUAGGGUGCGAGCGUUAAUCGGAAUUACUGGGCGUAAAGCGUGCGCAGGCGGUUGUGUAAGACAGGUGUGAAAUCCCCGGGCUUAACCUGGGAACUGCGCUUGUGACUGCACAGCUAGAGUAUGGCAGAGGGGGGUGGAAUUCCACGUGUAGCAGUGAAAUGCGUAGAGAUGUGGAGGAACACCGAUGGCGAAGGCAGCCCCCUGGGCCAAUACUGACGCUCAUGCACGAAAGCGUGGGGAGCAAACAGGAUUAGAUACCCCCGUAGUCCCUGUCUCUUAUAU
rnacentral:rRNA from 1 species